UUUCCUUCUUCUCUUUUCAUCCGCCCGAACCCUUCCUCCCUUCCUUCUCUCGCCGACUCCCAAUUCUCCCUCUCUUUCGCUAGAUCGACGCCGACGACCUUCUCAUCACCGGCACCGACCACUCGAGUUCUGAACCGGCCAUCGCCCUCUCCCCUCCUCCCCAAGCCGAUGUGUAUUUUGCUUGAGAAUGGAUCGGCAACGGAGUUGAUUGUGGAGGAGUCGUAGGUUUUGGCGUCCAUCUCCCAUUGGCGUUGAGUUCUCCUCUCUCUCAGUAUCGUCUCUGCCGACGCUUGAUGUUGCACCACUCGCCACCCAUCGCUGAUGCCGGCUCUUGAUCUGUCGACGCUGACCAUCGAUUCAUCUUCUCCGUGCCCUAGAAUUGCUACCGCCGUUCACUUGAUCGCUACCCGACGCCACCUUAUCGUCGGGUGCCACUGCCACCGAAGGGAGUUUCGACACAAAGGAAGAUGGGUUUGUUCUCUUCUUAGCUUGAGGAUCGGGCAAACUAAAGGAGGUUGCCACUGGAGGGAUCCCUGCUGCGGAGCCAUAGAACUCUUCCCCUAUCACACGGAUCCCUUCACUGGAGUGGUACCACAACCUUUGUCCCAGCAAGCUCGCCAUCUUUGCACUUCCUUCCGAUCACACACCUUGCCAUCACGGAUGAGUUGCUAAGAUCCUAUGUUUGAUGAAAUGCUUAGUUCCUUUUGUGGUCUCUGUUCGUGUCGUCAAUGUCGUCAUCGGUUACCAUCUUCCAUGGGUAGUUCUUGGAUCAGUGGUACUUGUGAGGAACCAAGCUCAGUAGGCUCCUCUACUACCAAGUUGUCGGCCCGAGGUCGCACAGAUCAUGGUUAUGCCACUCUUUCACACGAUGGUGCCUAUACUGAUCAUGCCAUUAUGAUAGUCUCCACCAGCCAUUGGUUGCAUUUGGCUCCUUCACCGAGAAGCUGCUGCAGAUCUGGAAUUGAGGACACUGAUACGAGACAAGUGUUCCGAUGUGGAGAUAGUUCAACUACGGUCUAUCAUUAAAGGUAGAAGGUAAAGUAUUUAUGGAGUCGCCUGAAGAUCCUGUCCGCCAGUUCCACAUCACAUUAGAGGACGACCUUAUGAAUUCGGUAUUUCUUACGUUAUUUGUAUUUUGGGUUUUGUACUUGUUUAUGUAUUUGUAUUCUCUUGUAUUUGGUUUGAUAUUAUUGUGUCAAGCCGAGCCGGCUUGCAGUUA